rnacentral:rRNA from 1 species
UUAGGAAUCUUGGGCAAUGGGCGCAAGCCUGACCCAGCAACGCCGCGUGGGUGACGAAGGCCUUCGGGUCGUAAAGCCCUUUUCUUCGGGACGAUGAUGACGGUACCGGAGGAAUAAGCCCCGGCUAACUACGUGCCAGCAGCCGCGGUAAUACGUAGGGGGCGAGCGUUGUCCGGAUUUAUUGGGCGUAAAACGCUUGUAGGCGGCCACAUCGCGUCGGCUGUGAAAUCUCCCGGCUCAACUGGGAGGGGUCAGGCGAUACGGAUGGGCUCGAGGCCGGUAGGGGGACGCGGAAUUCCCGGUGUAGUGGUGGAAUGCGUAGAGAUCGGGAGGAACACCAGUGGCGCAGGCGGCGUCCUGGACCGGUACUGACGCUGAGGAGCGAAAGCGUGGGGAGCGAUCCG